GUGACCUGCGGAAGGAUCAUUAAAGAAAUAAUCUCGAGGGCCUUCGGAAAGGAGAGAGGGUUGUAGCUGGCUUAAGCAUGUGCACGCCCUCUUUCUCGACCUAGGUCCUUAUGGGCGCGGGGCGACCCGCGUCUUCAUAAGCCCCUUCGUGUAGAAAGUCUAUGAAUGUUUUUACCAUCAUCGACUCGCGACUUCUAGGAGACGCGAUUCUUUGAGACAAAAGUUAUUACAACUUUCAGCAAUGGAUCUCUUGGCUCUCGCAUCGAUGAAGAACGCAGCGAAUCGCGAUAUGUAAUGUGAAUUGCAGAUCUACAGUGAAUCAUCGAAUCUUUGAACGCACCNUGCGCUUAUCGGUGUUCCGAUGAGCAUGCCUGUUUGAGCGUCAUUAAAUUCUCAACCCCUCUCGAUUUGCUUCGAGAGGGAGCUUGGAUYGUGGAGGCUGCCGGAGACCUGUUUUUCAGGACUCGGGCUCCUCUGAAAUGUAUUGGCUUGCGGUCGACUUUCGACUGUGCAUGACAAGGCCUUUGGCGUGAUAAUGAUCGCCGCUCGCCGAAGUGCACGAACGAAUGGUCUCGUGCCUCUAAUCAGUCGACGCCU
rnacentral:rRNA from 1 species